rnacentral:lncRNA from 1 species
UCUUUGAACGUUUUCUACGAAUAGGAGGAGAUAUUUUUAUACCUAUUGACAAAAACAUGAGAUUAAUCAAUAUCUAGACUUAGGCAGGACUUAAUUCAUUAAUUUUUUAAAAGAAUUUUUAACUUGACUCGUGAGAACUAGUGCGACCAUUAAAUUAGGACCUAGAUGUAAAGAAAGAUUUUAUUAAAAAUCAAAGUGAGAGAAACAUGAAUGAUAAUAUUUUUAGGAAAAACACCUGUUUAAAUCGACUCUAUCAAAAUUUUUUUUGCAAUAACAGACCUCUAGACAAUUUUAACUAUAUGUUUGGAGAAAAUUCCACUAAGUAUACUUAAAAGGAAAAAAAUAAAAUAAAAUAAAAGAGAAUGACUUAGAAAAGAAGAAUGGUUAUUUUAUAAAGUUGUAUAAAAAUUUCAGCCUCACGACCCCUAAAGGUCCGGUACUGUUAAAAUAUAUGUUUACAUAUUUUAUUAUUUCAUAAAAAUUCAGCUCACGAUCCCUAAAGGUUCAGGCUAUUAUGAUUUUUAUGUUAAAAUUAAUUUUGAAAAAAAAAAGAAAAGUAAAAUAAAGAUAAUAAUAUUCAUGAAAAUAAUCAUUUUUUUUUCUUCUUAUUAUUUUUUCAAAAAAUAUCCUUCAAUAAAUUUAUGAAUAAAUAUAUUAUUAUUAUUAUUUCAAAAUCAGGGUCAUAUCCCGGAUAGGACAUCCUACGUAUCCCACUAAAAAGUGAGAAUCAGACUCUCGUAGUUCAAGAAAACUCUAAAAGUAUAUUAUUCUAUAUUUAAAAUUUUCCUUUCUUCUAAAAAAAAAUAAAAUAAAAUUUUCCUUUGAAAAAUAAUUCAAUGAAUUUGAGGAUAAUAUAAUUUUUUGCAUUUUGAACUUGCCUAAAAGCCGAUCAACAAUAAAAUAAGUCUUCCAAAUAAAUGUCAAAGAGCACGUAGGAUGUACAUGUUGGUCUUUAUAAAGUAGGUCACAUGUCCUAAACAGACCCAGCCCCUAUGCAGGGUUUCGCUAAGUCAAAUGCAUAUGAUGCAAAAUAAGCGGCACCUAAUAGGGAUAACUAGAUUCUGAGUUUUCAGUUCUUUUAAGUUUAAGCCUAAUAGAGAUAUGUGUCUAGACUGGCUUACCGAGUGGACACUCGAGCCCGGGAGGAACAACUUGAUCAGUAGCAGGGCAACAUUGCCUUCGUUAUCGAUCCGAACCCUGCCUAACAUGUGUGACUAUAAUCCUUCACCAGGUGUCUUGAUACUCCGGCUAUCUCAAAAAGAAAGUUAGGAAGCAUAUGUUGCAUUCCUUCUAUCCUAUUUUAGAGACUCAGAGGGAGUGUGAAAGAGAACACAAUAUAUAAUACAGUUCAAUCAAUAUCAAAGCGGUAAAUAAGCGACAGGUAGCAUAUAAGGCCAAUAAUAUCAAUAAUAAUCAAAGCAAGUAUAACUCAAUAUAAAACGCUCGAAUUCUUAUUAUUUUCCAGUAGAGUCGUCAGAGAUGUCACACCCCUUUUUUGCCCGAGGGUUCAAGUCGAUCAAAGGAUUUUUUCGAUUAAAGUGACGAUAUUGAAUAGGGAUUAAUUUAUUUCCAGAGUCGCCACUUGGAAUCGAGUUAUGGUGUUCCAAGUCACCUUAUUGAAUCCCUAAUCAAAAGAAAAUGACUAUUUGUUGGUCUGCGAAAACAGAUGACCGGGUAAGGAAUUUUAUUGACCAAGGAAAAGGUGUGAGGCACCUCUCGAGUCCCGUGGUUCUAGCACGGUCUCUUUUAUUGACUCAUCUUGACUUAAACUAUUUUGAUAUAUUAUGUUAAAGCCUAAUUUGCUCAUUUUUAUCAUAUCAAAUAUCUGUCUAUACCUCUUGUGUUAAGCCGGAGAAAGUUAAAUUUGUAAAAUAUUUACCAAGGUGCAUUAUUUACAUCCUUGAAUUAUUUUUAAAUGUCUCAAAAAGAUGCGUGCGCCGCAUUCUUAGUUGAGAUAUAAAUUUUAAACGUGUCUAAAAUUUAUUUAACACUAAAAUAUUAAUUUAUCCUAUUUAUAAUAAUUCGUAGCAAUUUAUCUUUUCAAAAAAUACUACUUAAUCUUUACAGUAAACUAAAAUAAUUUUCAUUUAAAGUAAUUAACUAAUAAUUAAUUUAAUAAUAAAAUAGUAAAAACCUUAUUAAUGAUAACAAAUGAAAAUAAUAAUAAUAAAAUAAAGAAAAAUAAAUUGUUAUCCAUAUGAUACUAAUGUUGAUCCCCAAAAUAUUAUUAUUAUUAUUAUUAUUAUUAUUAUUAUUAUUAUUAAAAGAAUAUACAUACACACACUAACUCAAAUACACGUACUACAACUGUUAGGUCCUCUAUUUUCUUUCUCCUCUCUCUCUCUCAAUUACUACCGUUUUCAUCACUGCCGCCGGCGACAACGACAUUGGCUUUCUUCCGUUCGGAUGAGGCUGCAGCGAUGACGGACUGAUUUUGAAUGAUUUUGACUGUUUUUGGUGAUGAAGAAGGGAAAGGGGGGCGGCGAUGUGUUUGGUUUUGAUGGUAGAGGCGCAGCUGGCGCCGUCUAUAGCGGCAAAUCCAAUGGUUUGGCUGAUUUUACGGCGACGUGAUGAGUUGGGAAUAUUUUUCAGCGAAGGAAGGACGAUUUCGGUAAGUUCCGUCCAGAUCUAAUCGGAGUUGGUAUUCACCAGUGAUGGUGGUCGAUGGAAAGGGGGAAAAGGAAGAGAGAGAUGCGACACACUGAUUCAGCAUUUGGUCGGAUCUGAUUUUGUUGGUUCUGCCGGAGUUAUUCUAGUGAAUAUUUUGGCGAUUCCAGUAGGUUUCGCUGGAGGAGAUGAUGAUUCUGGUGAACUCCUCGAAAAAAUCAGUGCAAAUCAUUUUAUUCCUUCUUCCUUUUUACUAAAUUUUUCUCUGUUUGUGUGUCUGUGCAAUGCGUGUAUGUGAUUGGCAUAAUAAAAUGGAAAAAGAAAAGUGUGUGGCUGUUAUUCAGUAAAUGUGAAUAUUUGUGUGCAAAUGAGUUGUAACAGUAUAUGAAAUUGUAACAGUACCUAUCUCAGACUGUAUUUAGCACUCCAAAUUCUAAUUUUUAUUACAUUUAUUUACUAGCAUAUAAAUAUUCAAUAACUUUAAUCACAUAACAUGUAGUAACAAAGAUUUGCAUAAUCAAUCAAUUAUUCAUAAUACAUGAAAUCACUUGAAAUUUUUAUUCAUAUUUUUCCUCAGUAAACUUACAACAUAAAUGAAAUAAGAUCGAAAUAGAACCUGUAUGCUAACUUUAAUUAAAUACACAAGCAAGAUGUUAUCACUGGAAACUUGAACGGAACUCCAACUUUAAUCUACGAACUCUGAAUGAUCUCCUUUUUUUAAAAAAGAAAAUUCCUCUCUUUUUCUUUGUUUUUGCUCUCUAAUUUUAUUUUUUUAUUUUUUUCAGUGUCUGAUAGUCUGAUGCAGUGUCUGUAGGGAGAUAGAUUGUAUGUAGUUUUUUUUUCUUUUCCUUUUUGGGGGUGGAAGUCCUUUAAGUAGAGGGAUUUUUUUUUUGGG